rnacentral:lncRNA from 12 species
UCAGUUAUCAGAUGGUAAAAGUUUAAUUUUUGUUUUUAAGUUGUGUGUUUUGUCUUUUUUUCAUUUCUUAGCUAAGGAAAAAAUCUUCUACCUUCCGGAAACCUGAUAUUUUGGACCAGAUCCCUGUCUGAACAGGUUGUAUGCUGCCCUUUUCAAAAUCAAGCUAUCAGAGGAUGCCCUUCAGCAGAAGUGUUAAGAGGACUUGAAAUCUGUUAAGACAGUCUCACAAAGAUCUGCAUAUGCUCAGAGCAAUGCUUCACGUGCUCCUGCAGCUCUGCCCUGGGAACAUCACAGAUAUCUGAUGG